rnacentral:rRNA from 1 species
GAUGAACGCUGGCGGCGUGCCUAAUACAUGCAAGUCGAGCGAACGGACGAGAAGCUUGCUUCUCUGAUGUUAGCGGCGGACGGGUGAGUAACACGUGGAUAACCUACCUAUAAGACCGGGAUAACUUCGGGAAACCGGAGCUAAUACCGGAUAAUAUUUUGAACCGCAUGGUUCAAAAGUGAAAGACGGUCUUGCUGUCACUUAUAGAUGGAUCCGCGCUGCAUUAGCUAGUUGGUAAGGUAACGGCUUACCAAGGCAACGAUGCAUAGCCGACCUGAGAGGGUGAUCGGCCACACUGGAACUGAGACACGGUCCAGACUCCUACGGGAGGCAGCAGUAGGGAAUCUUCCGCAAUGGGCGAAAGCCUGACGGAGCAACGCCGCGUGAGUGAUGAAGGUCUUCGGAUCGUAAAACUCUGUUAUUAGGGAAGAACAUAUGUGUAAGUAACUGUGCACAUCUUGACGGUACCUAAUCAGAAAGCCACGGCUAACUACGUGCCAGCAGCCGCGGUAAUACGUAGGUGGCAAGCGUUAUCCGGAAUUAUUGGGCGUAAAGCGCGCGUAGGCGGUUUUUUAAGUCUGAUGUGAAAGCCCACGGCUCAACCGUGGAGGGUCAUUGGAAACUGGAAAACUUGAGUGCAGAAGAGGAAAGUGGAAUUCCAUGUGUAGCGGUGAAAUGCGCAGAGAUAUGGAGGAACACCAGUGGCGAAGGCGACUUUCUGGUCUGUAACUGACGCUGAUGUGCGAAAGCGUGGGGAUCAAACAGGAUUAGAUACCCUGGUAGCCCACGCCGUAAACGAUGAGUGCUAAGUGUUAGGGGGUUUCCGCCCCUUAGUGCUGCAGCUAACGCAUUAAGCACUCCGCCUGGGGAGUACGACCGCAAGGUUGAAACUCAAAGGAAUUGACGGGGACCCGCACAAGCGGUGGAGCAUGUGGUUUAAUUCGAAGCAACGCGAAGAACCUUACCAAAUCUUGACAUCCUUUGACAACUCUAGAGAUAGAGCCUUCCCCUUCGGGGGACAAAGUGACAGGUGGUGCAUGGUUGUCGUCAGCUCGUGUCGUGAGAUGUUGGGUUAAGUCCCGCAACGAGCGCAACCCUUAAGCUUAGUUGCCAUCAUUAAGUUGGGCACUCUAAGUUGACUGCCGGUGACAAACCGGAGGAAGGUGGGGAUGACGUCAAAUCAUCAUGCCCCUUAUGAUUUGGGCUACACACGUGCUACAAUGGACAAUACAAAGGGCAGCGAAACCGCGAGGUCAAGCAAAUCCCAUAAAGUUGUUCUCAGUUCGGAUUGUAGUCUGCAACUCGACUACAUGAAGCUGGAAUCGCUAGUAAUCGUAGAUCAGCAUGCUACGGUGAAUACGUUCCCGGGUCU